UACGGAGGGUGCGAGCGUUGUCCGGAAUCACUGGGCGUAAAGGGCGCGUAGGCGGUCUGCUAAGCGUGCGGUGAAAGCCUGGGGCUCAACCCCAGGUCUGCCGUGCGAACUGGUGGACUAGAGCACUGUAGAGGCAGGUGGAAUUUCGGGUGUAGCGGUGGAAUGCGUAGAGAUCCGAAAGAACACCGGUGGCGAAGGCGGCCUGCUGGGCAGUUGCUGA
rnacentral:rRNA from 1 species